rnacentral:piRNA from 1 species
UCCAAAGGUGGUUUUCNACAGAUUGGUGG